rnacentral:rRNA from 1 species
UACGAAGGGGGGCUAGCGUUGCUCGGAAUCACUGGGCGUAAAGGGUGCGUAGGCGGGUCUUUAAGUCAUACGUGAAAUCCCUCAGCUUAACUGGGGAACUGCGUGUGAUACUGGAUGGCUUGGAUUUGGGAGAGGGAUGCGGAAUUCCUGGUGUAGCGGUGAAAUGCGCAGAUAUCAGGAGGAACACCGGUGGCGAAGGCGGUUCUCUGGGCAUUACCUGACGCUGAGGAGCGAAAGUGUGGGGAGCGAACAGG